ACCGUUAAUUGGUGUUCUGUUUCUUGUCCUCUACAUAUUCUUCGCAAAAGAACCGCUGGUUCUUUUGCGAAGAAUA
rnacentral:tRNA from 1 species